UACGUAGGUGGCAAGCGUUGUCCGGAUUUACUGGGCGUAAAGGAUGCGUAGGCGGAUGUUUUAAGUGAGAUGUGAAAAUACCCCGAGCUCAACUUGGGUGCUGCAUUUUCAAAACUGGAUAUCUAGAGUGCAGGAGAGGAAAGCGGAAUUCCUAGUGUAGCGGUGAAAUGCGUAGAGAUUAGGAAGAACACCAGUGGCGAAGGCGGCUUUCUGGACUGUAACUGACGCUGAGGCAUGAAAGCGUGGGGAGCAAACAGGGA
rnacentral:rRNA from 1 species